UUUUCGUAGGUGACCUGCGAAAGGAUCAUUAUCGGCACA
rnacentral:rRNA from 1 species